rnacentral:rRNA from 1 species
GACGAACGCUGGCGGCGUGCCUAAUACAUGCAAGUAGAACGCUGAAGGAGGAGCUUGCUUCUCCGGAUGAGUUGCGAACGGGUGAGUAACGCGUAGGUAACCUGCCUGGUAGCGGGGGAUAACUAUUGGAAACGAUAGCUAAUACCGCAUAAUAGUAGAUGUUGCAUGACAUUUACUUAAAAGGUGCAAUUGCAUCACUACCAGAUGGACCUGCGUUGUAUUAGCUAGUUGGUGGGGUAACGGCUCACCAAGGCGACGAUACAUAGCCGACCUGAGAGGGUGAUCGGCCACACUGGGACUGAGACACGGCCCAGACUCCUACGGGAGGCAGCAGUAGGGAAUCUUCGGCAAUGGACGGAAGUCUGACCGAGCGACGCCGCGUGAGUGAAGAAGGUUUUCGGAUCGUAAAGCUCUGUUGUAAGAGAAGAACGAGUGUGGGAGUGGAAAGUUCACACUGUGACGGUAUCUUACCAGAAAGGGACGGCUAACUACGUGCCAGCAGCCGCGGUAAUACGUAGGUCCCGAGCGUUGUCCGGAUUUAUUGGGCGUAAAGCGAGCGCAGGCGGUUAGAUAAGUCUGAAGUUAAAGGCUGUGGCUUAACCAUAGUACGCUUUGGAAACUGUUUAACUUGAGUGCAAGAGGGGAGAGUGGAAUUCCAUGUGUAGCGGUGAAAUGCGUAGAUAUAUGGAGGAACACCGGUGGCGAAAGCGGCUCUCUGGCUUGUAACUGACGCUGAGGCUCGAAAGCGUGGGGAGCAAACAGG